GACGAACGCUGGCGGCGUGCUUAACACAUGCAAGUCGAGCGGUAAGGCCCUUUCGGGGGUACGACGAGCGGCGAACGGGUGAGUAACACGUGGGUGACCUGCCCUCAGCUCUGGGAUAAGCCUGGGAAACUGGGUCUAAUACCGGAUAUGACUCCAUGACGCAUGUUGUGGGGUGGAAAGCCUUGUGCGGCUGAGGAUGGGCCCGCGGCCUAUCAGCUUGUUGGUGGGGUGAUGGCCUACCAAGGCGACGACGGGUAGCCGGCCUGAGAGGGCGACCGGCCACACUGGGACUGAGACACGGCCCAGACUCCUACGGGAGGCAGCAGUGGGGAAUCUUGCGCAAUGGGCGAAAGCCUGACGCAGCGACGCCGCGUGAGGGAUGACGGCCUGGUGUAACGUACUUCUA
rnacentral:rRNA from 1 species